rnacentral:misc_RNA from 1 species
GAUGAAGAACGCAGCGAAAUGCGAUAAGUAAUGUGAAUUGCAGAAUUCAGUGAAUCAUCGAAUCUUUGAACGCACCUUGCGCUCUUUGGUAUUCCGAAGAGCAUGCCUGUUUGAGUGUCAUGAAAAUAUCAACCUUGACUUGGGUUUUGUGCUCUAGUCUCGGCUUGGAAUUGGGUGCUUGCCGCUUUUACGAGCGGCUCACCUUAAAUGUAUUAGCUGGAUCUGUCUUUGAGACUUGGUUUGACUUGGCGUAAUAAGUAUUUCGCUAAGGACAUUCUUCGGAGUGGCCUCGUUUCUAGGACGCUUGUCCGCUUUCCAAUACAAGUUCCACCUCGUGGACAUGACUUUUUAUUAUCUGGCCACAAAUCAGGUAGGACUACCCGCUGAACUUAAGCAUAUCAAUAAGCGGAGGA